CCCCUAAAAGCCGUCCCAGUUCAGAUCGCAGUCUGCAACCCGACUGCGUGAAGUCGGAAUCGCUAGUAAUCGCGGAUCAGCAUGCCGCGGUGAAUACGUUCCCGGGCCUUGUACACACCGCCCGUCACACCAUGAGAGUCGGGAACACCCGAAGUCCGUAGCCUAACCGCAAGGGGGGCGCGGCCGAAGGUGGGUUCGAUAAUUGGGGUGAAGUCGUAACAAGGUAAC
rnacentral:rRNA from 1 species